AAGUGACAUGUCAGAGCUGCGAUUGCCUUCAGUAGUCCAGUUUUAAGUCCAAAGCCUUAAUCGUUCUUUCUGGAUACCCAGUACCUUAUAAUGCAGUGCUGAGGAAAUUAAGCCUCGCCGGGACAGUUUCUCACUGGAGGCACUGACGUUCACAAUCUU
rnacentral:lncRNA from 1 species